GACAUUCAUUUCCAGCUAGAGCUUGGGCAAUAACGUCCAUAAAUGUUACCAUGAUCAAUUUCAAUCUCAAUAUUUAUCACAAUCGACUACUUCACAUCACUGUCACACUUUUUAAAGAAUCUUUUUAAAUAAUGCAAGCUGAAUAAACCAAAAGUUCCUUACAGCUUAGCAGAACAUAAUAUACAGUACUGUGCAGAAGCCUUAGGCACCAUAUUUAUUUGUAGAAAUUGUGUUAUAUUUGAUGUUUAUUUUAUGACUUCUGUAUUAUUGAGUCAGUACAAAAUCAUUUCAGAUUUCCACACGUUUCUUUUCCAACAAAAAAUGUUACAGAAAAUCACCAAAAGAAGCAAGUGUGAGAGUCAGAGUCUCCAGAAGAGCUGUAUCAGUACUGUAUCAGAAGCUCAGUAAAACCUACCGGCUCAUUUCCUUAAAACAGGUUCAUGCAGAAGUGUUUAGUUGCAUUAUUUCUGAAGGCACGUUUGCUUUACGGCAUUUCUUUGCAUGUGCCUGAGACUUUUGCCCAGUACUGUAUAUGCAAACAGUAUACAAAAUGAUACAAGAGAAAGCAGUGUUACACACGCUGCAGGGGCAGACAAAUGAUAAAUUCAUGAGCUCUCCCACCGAGUGAGUAAAACCUCCAGUGUUCAGCGCAGUCCCAUGUUUUGGUUGCCUGGUACCCUAAUUAACUCGGCUAAUAAAUAUCAGCUAAUUUCAUGUGAUAAUGUAUGGGAAGCUCGCUAAGUCCUUUAAUACAGACUAAGGUAAAUGAAUUUCCAUAGAGGAGACGAUUUUACUUAGCCAUAGUCUUUAUCAUCAUCUAAACUGUUCCUAAUUAAUGUGCGUAGUAACAUUACACACCAUGAAGCACAAUAUAUUUAAACAUAUCGAAUUGAAACUUUUUUGUGAACGUCAAUAAGAAGGAGAGUUUUUUCCUCUGGUUGCUGUUUAUUAUUACGUACCUGUGCAUACACUGCAAAGCGCACAUAAAAUACAUGCUGCGUUACAACUUACUCCUGGGACAGUGAUGCCUUAUUCCUCUGUACAACAUAUGGAAACAGCAAUAAUUACAAUAUACAAUACAAGGUACACUGCAAUAUAAAAUACCAUUUAAAGUAGUAUACAGCUUGUGUGCCUCUGCCAGAAGUGACCUCUGUUGUCUAGCUGUUCUGCUAGUAGCAUUGUUCAUGUCUCUUCUGUUACGGAGUCCAUACCUAGACUGAGUGACAGACAGACGUUCAUGCAGUGGACUAGGUGGAUCUUGCAGGCAGCUACAGUCCAAAGAACAUCUGCUUAUCCUGGGCUGGUGAUUGGAAGUGAAAAUGGAAGCGUUUAUUGUUAAAAAGGAAAACUUUAUCACAAUACAAAUCAAGAUCGUGUUGUCACCCAUCACUGACUCCUUCCUGUCAGAGAGGCUACAAACCAGCCACAUCAUCAUGGAUUCCAGGAUCUGUGUGUGACCCAAGGGCAGAAAGGGAACGUUUCAGUACAAACUCUUAGUGCGUGAAGAACACUUGGGGGUUGCUGACAGGACGAACCUCGCAACCUGAACAGUUAGGAACCACAUUCAGUCAGUGAGGGUGCUGGCUUGGCCGACUUAAGAUCAGGCUACAAUAACCUCAUCUGUCUUCCCUGUGAGUGUGAACUCGACUCAUACAGCACCUGCAGCUGCUCUGGGUUAGAGGAGAAAGCACGCUUCAGGAGUGUUUCUUGUACAUAUCUGUAUGUAUACUCCAGCAAUCUCUGUGAUUUGCUUGUUCUGCUGUAUUUGACUCCUUAUUAAAUUGAGACAAGCUUGGGAGGUGUCUCUUUAACCCUUACUCUUACUAGUCACUGUUACGGGUCAUUCUUUUAUAAUAACAGCUAUAAACUGACUGUGUGGUGUGUCUGCCCCAGUUAAUUGGGCUGUGUGUAAUAAAUCACAGACAAACACCAGCACACAAGUUAUCACUUCGUUUGUCAGCCCUGCUGUGUGUUUUAUGACUUGCAGGGUUAACCUUGUUCACUUCAGCCUUAUAAUGUCAUAAUCAAUAAACUGUCUCAAAAAAGUACACAUUUAGGAUCUGUGCAGUGCUGGAGGAUAAGAAUAUAAACUGUUUUCUGAAACAUGUUUAUGUUUUUGUGAUAUGAUCAUUCACAUGGUAUUAGUCCGUGAGAGGAUCUCUGCAGAUAAAAACUGCAGACUUGACCUUGUGCAUGAUUUUAACACCAUGAGUUAUCACACAACAAUACACCAAAGGAACACACUCCUGUUUUUCCCCCUAAUAAAAAAGGCUGAUGAACCAAAUGACACAUGAAUUUGGAAUGAUUAACAAGCUGACAAGCUAGGGAAGCCCCGCCCCCUCCCCCCUCCGGCGCUCUCGCCUCGACUCGAUUUCCUGCUUGAAAGAUGUCAGUGUCUUAGCUAACAUUAGACACGCAUAAAGUUAACAUCGGUUAGCUAUAUUUAUUAGUGAUGACUGAAAAUAGCCCAACACUGCACUGAAAAUUUUGACAGAAUAUAAGAUUAAUUAAGCCUAAAAGGAAGCCUCAAAUAUAAAAAAUUACAAAUAAAUUUCAUGGUAGCGUUUGAUAGAAGGAGGUUUUUUUGCUUUCCUGCGCUGGUCAGCACAGCGGGUAGCGUUGCCACCUCACAGCUCCAGGCUCUUCAGCUUGAUCCUGAGCUCAGGUUUCACAUGUUCUCUUUGUGUCCCUGUGUGUUUAUUCUCAGGCCAUGUUCACACCUGGCAUUAACACGUGUCCUGGGUGAUCAGAUUGUAAGUGGUCAGCACUAAGUUCAGGUGUGAA